GACAGAGGGGGCAAGCGUUGUCCGGAAUCAUUGGGCGUAAAGCGCGUGUAGGCGGUUCGGUAAGUCCGCUGUGAAAGUCGGGGGCUCAACCCUCGGAUGCCGGUGGAUACUGUCGAGCUUGAGUACGGAAGAGGCGAGUGGAAUUCCUGGUGUAGCGGUGAAAUGCGCAGAUAUCAGGAGGAACACCAAUUGCGAAGGCAGCUCGCUGGGACGUUACUGACGCUGAGACGCGAAAGCGUGGGGAGCAAACAGG
rnacentral:rRNA from 1 species